UGCCUCGCCUCUGACUUUCUGCCUG
rnacentral:piRNA from 1 species